UGGGGAAUAUUGCACAAUGGGCGCAAGCCUGAUGCAGCCAUGCCGCGUGUAUGACGAAGGCCUUCGGGUUGUAAAGUACUUUCAGCGGGGAGGAAGGGAGUAAAGUUAAUACCUUUGCUCAUUGACGUUACCCGCAGAAGAAGCACCGGCUAACUCCGUGCUAGCAGCCGCGGUAAUACGGAGGGUGCAAGCGUUAAUCGGAAUUACUGGGCGUAAAGCGCACGCAGGCGGUUUGUUAAGUCAGAUGUGAAAUCCUCGGGCUCAACCUGGGAACUGCAUCUGAUACUGGGAAGCUUGAGUCUCGUAGAGGGGGGUAGAAUUCCAGGUGUAGCGGUGAAAUGCGUAGAGAUCUGGAGGAAUACCGGUGGCGAAGGCGGCCCCCUGGACGAAGACUGACGCUCAGGUGCGAAAGCGUGGGGAGCAAACAGG
rnacentral:rRNA from 1 species